rnacentral:snoRNA from 1 species
AGCCUCAGUCCAUAUGAGAAUGGGCAGUUGACCAUGGUGUCCGGAAGUGAUAGAUGUGGCUACAAUGAGACACAAGUUAUGCUUCCAUCACAGUAAAUCAAAUGCUACCGUGACAAUGAGACCUGUAACAAUU